CGGCUCCGAGGGGCCGGCUCGCGGCGGAGAGCGCGCCUCCUGCCGGGGUGGGAGCAGGCCCGCCCGGCCGAGGGCCCGCGCUGCGAAGGCCAGGGAAGAGGAGAAGCCAGGCGCUUUCCCGAGGAGGGCGCCCCCUCGGCUUUAUGGCCGGAAGGGGAACUCGGAGCCUCCAAGGAAGGCCGGAAAAAGAAGGGAAAAGUCCUCUGCGAGACUUCUGGAAAGAGGAAAAGAAGCCUCUGCCAUCCAUAAUGGUCUCUUCCAGUUCUGAGUGACGUGGGAUACGAACGAGCCUUGGCUGUGAUCCCUGUUUUACAUCUUUACUCCAGCAUCUCUAGAGGUCCCGCCAGCCUCCAUGAUCAAGGCUAUUUCAGGGGAGCUGUUUGAAGAGGUUGCUGAUUCUCAGUAUCGAUAACAAGGAAUCAAAGGUUUUGGUCCUUGCAAAUGAAGCUGCUCUGAACAUUCCUGUAAAGUCUUUGU